rnacentral:rRNA from 1 species
UUUGAUCCUGGCUCAAGACGAACGCUGGCGGCGUGCUUAACACAUGCAAGUCGAGCGAUGAUGUUUCCUUCGGGGAACGGAUUAGCGGCGGACGGGUGAGUAACACGUGGGUAACCUGUCUCAUAGAGGGGAAUAGCCUUCCGAAAGGAAGAUUAAUACCGCAUAAGAUUGUAAUGCCGCAUGGCAUAGCAAAUUAAAGGAGCAAUCCGCUAUGAGAUGGACCCGCGUCGCAUUAGCUAGUUGGUGAGGUAACGGCUCACCAAGGCGACGAUGCGUAGCCGACCUGAGAGGGUGAUCGGCCACAUUGGGACUGAGACACGGCCCAGACUCCUACGGGAGGCAGCAGUGGGGAAUAUUGGACAAUGGAUGGAAAUCUGAUCCAGCCAUGCCGCGUGCAGGAAGACGGCCUUAUGGGUUGUAAACUGCUUUUAUACGGGAGCAAUAAGGGUUACGAGUAAUCCGAUGAGAGUACUGUAUGAAUAAGGAUCGGCUAACUCCGUGCCAGCAGCCGCGGUAAUACGGAGGAUCCGAGCGUUAUCCGGAAUUAUUGGGUUUAAAGGGUGCGUAGGCGGCCAUUUAAGUCAGCGGUGAAAUUUUGCAGCUUAACUGUAACAGUGCCGUUGAUACUGUUUGGCUAGGAUUUGGUUGUAGUGUGCGGAAUGUGUGGUGUAGCGGUGAAAUGCUUAGAUAUCACACAGAACACCGAUUGCGAAGGCAGCACACUAAGUCAUUAUUGACGCUGAGGCACGAAAGUGUGGGGAUCAAACAGGAUUAGAUACCCUGGUAGUCCACACUGUAAACGAUGAUAACUCGCGUUCGGCGAUACACAGUCGGUGGCCAAGCGAAAGCAUUAAGUUAUCCACCUGGGGAGUACGACCGCAAGGUUGAAACUCAAAGGAAUUGACGGGGGCCCGCACAAGCGGAGGAACAUGUGGUUUAAUUCGAUGAUACGCGAGGAACCUUACCCGGGCUCGAACGGUGCAUGAAUAUACGAGAGAUUGUAUAGUCCUUCGGGACAUGUAUCGAGGUGCUGCAUGGUUGUCGUCAGCUCGUGCCGUGAGGUGUCGGCUUAAGUGCCAUAACGAGCGCAACCCUUGUCAUUAGUUGCCAUCAGGUCAAGCUGGGGACUUUAAUGAGACUGCCACCGUAAGGUGUGAGGAAGGGGGGGAUGACGUCAAAUCAGCACGGCCCUUAUGUCCGGGGCGACACACGUGUUACAAUGGGAGGUACAGAGGGCAGCUAUCCGGUGACGGAAUGCUAAUCUCCAAAACCUUUCUCAGUUCGGAUUGGAGUCUGCAACUCGACUCCAUGAAGGUGGAUUCGCUAGUAAUCGCGCAUCAGCCAUGGCGCGGUGAAUACGUUCCCGGGCCUUGCACACACCGCCCGUCAAG